rnacentral:rRNA from 1 species
GACGAACGCUGGCGGCGUGCUUAACACAUGCAAGUGGAGCGACGAACCAGGGCUUGCCCUGGGGCAGAGCCGCGAACGGGUGAGUAACACGUGGGUAACGUGCCCCGAUGACUGGGACAACCCGGGGAAACCCGGCUAAUACCGGAUAUGCCCCCCUCACAUCUGUGAGGUGUGUAAAGGAAGCUUCGGCCUCCGCAUCGGGAUCGGCCCGCGGCCCAUUAGCUUGUUGGUGGGGUAAUGGCUUACCAAGGCUUCUAUGGGUAGCUGGUCUGAGAGGACGAUCAGCCACACUGGGACUGAGACACGGCCCAGACUCCUACGGGAGGCAGCAGUGGGGAAUCUUGCGCAAUGCGCGAAAGCGUGACGCAGCAACGCC